UACGUUCUUCUGUCGUGAUUCGGUUACAAACCUAACCAGCGCAUAGUAGAAUUCCGCUUCUGCUGAGAAAGUAGUCCCUCGAUGAUUCAUGCGAUGCAUGGUUAGUUUUAUUUCUAACAUUAUUCUAUCAACACAGACAUUUCAAUCUAUAGUCUGGCGUUAUAAUUGAUUUACCUCGGGUGUACUGUGGAGUGGUGAUAUAGAAUACCAAUGCUCACUUCGGAAUCAGGCCCUAUGUCCAAAAUUCCGAACUACCCCUUUAAAAUCGGUCCCCAGCAGUUCAGUCUUCCUCCUCCGAGUCCUUCCCCGGUCAUCCUGGAUCAUGAUACAACUAGCAGCGACAGUGACGACGACUGCAGCAGCCUGGAGUGACCCGCCUUCCGCCUGCACACCGACUCGGAUUUUAAUUCAUUUUUAAUUAAUUUAUUCUUCAUCUUCUUAUUAUUAUUAUUAUCAUUUUUAAUUAAUUUAUUCUUCAUCUUCUUCUUCUUAUUAUUAUUAUCAUUAUCAUUACAAGUAUUUAAUAAGUAUUUAAUAAAUGUUAACACUUUCCGGUUUAAUUCCAUGAUGUUUGAAUGGUUUUUGAAC
ensembl:lncRNA